GGGAAUAUAGCUUAAUAGCUUAGAGCAUUAGACUUUUAAUCUAAAAAAUUUGGGUUGGAGUCCCAAUAUUCUCA
rnacentral:tRNA from 1 species